GUGGGGAAUAUUGGACAAUGGGCGAAAGCCUGAUCCAGCAAUGCCGCGUGUGUGAAGAAGGUCUUCGGAUUGUAAAGCACUUUCGACGGGGACGAUGAUGACGGUACCCGUAGAAGAAGCCCCGGCUAACUUCGUGCAG
rnacentral:rRNA from 1 species